AAUCAACGCUGGCGGCGUGCCUAACACAUGCAAGUCGAACGCGAAAGUGGAGCAAUCCAUGAGUAGAGUGGCGAACGGGUGAGUAAUGCAUCGGAACGUACCGUGUAAUGGGGGAUAACGUAGCGAAAGUUACGCUAAUACCGCAUACGACCUGAGGGUGAAAGCAGGGGAUCGCAAGACCUUGCGUUAUACGAGCGGCCGAUGUCAGAUUAGCUAGUUGGUGAGGUAAAGGCUCACCAAGGCGACGAUCUGUAGCGGGUCUGAGAGGAUGAUCCGCCACACUGGGACUGAGACACGGCCCAGACUCCUACGGGAGGCAGCAGUGGGGAAUUUUGGACAAUGGGGGCAACCCUGAUCCAGCCAUGCCGCGUGAGUGAAGAAGGCCUUCGGGUUGUAAAGCUCUUUCGGCCGGGAAGAAAUCGCACAGGCUAAUACUCUGUGUGGAUGACGGUACCGGCAUAAGAAGCACCGGCUAACUACGUGCCAGCAGCCGCGGUAACAC
rnacentral:rRNA from 1 species